rnacentral:rRNA from 1 species
UUGAUGAACGCUAGCUACAGGCUUAACACAUGCAAGUCGAGGGUUAGCAUGGUCUUAGCUUGCUAAGGCCGAUGGCGACCGGCGCACGGGUGAGUAACACGUAUCCAACCUGCCGUCUACUCUUGGACAGCCUUCUGAAAGGAAGAUUAAUACAAGAUGGCAUCAUGAGUCCGCAUGUUCACAUGAUUAAAGGUAUUCCGGUAGACGAUGGGGAUGCGUUCCAUUAGAUAGUAGGCGGGGUAACGGCCCACCUAGUCUUCGAUGGAUAGGGGUUCUGAGAGGAAGGUCCCCCACAUUGGAACUGAGACACGGUCCAAACUCCUACGGGAGGCAGCAGUGAGGAAUAUUGGUCAAUGGGCGAGAGCCUGAACCAGCCAAGUAGCGUGAAGGAUGACUGCCCUAUGGGUUGUAAACUUCUUUUAUAAAGGAAUAAAGUCGGGUAUGGAUACCCGUUUGCAUGUACUUUAUGAAUAAGGAUCGGCUAACUCCGUGCCAGCAGCCGCGGUAAUACGGAGGAUCCGAGCGUUAUCCGGAUUUAUUGGGUUUAAAGGGAGCGUAGAUGGAUGUUUAAGUCAGUUGUGAAAGUUUGCGGCUCAACCGUAAAAUUGCAGUUGAUACUGGAUAUCUUGAGUGCAGUUGAGGCAGGCGGAAUUCGUGGUGUAGCGGUGAAAUGCUUAGAUAUCACGAAGAACUCCGAUUGCGAAGGCAGCCUGCUAAGCUGCAACUGACAUUGAGGCUCGAAAGUGUGGGUAUCAAACAGGAUUAGAUACCCUGGUAGUCCACACGGUAAACGAUGAAUACUCGCUGUUUGCGAUAUACAGCAAGCGGCCAAGCGAAAGCGUUAAGUAUUCCACCUGGGGAGUACGCCGGCAACGGUGAAACUCAAAGGAAUUGACGGGGGCCCGCACAAGCGGAGGAACAUGUGGUUUAAUUCGAUGAUACGCGAGGAACCUUACCCGGGCUUAAAUUGCAGAUGAAUUACGGUGAAAGCCGUAAGCCGCAAGGCAUCUGUGAAGGUGCUGCAUGGUUGUCGUCAGCUCGUGCCGUGAGGUGUCGGCUUAAGUGCCAUAACGAGCGCAACCCUUGUUGUCAGUUACUAACAGGUUCCGCUGAGGACUCUGACAAGACUGCCAUCGUAAGAUGUGAGGAAGGUGGGGAUGACGUCAAAUCAGCACGGCCCUUACGUCCCGGGCUACACACGUGUUACAAUGGGGGGUACAGAGGGCCGCUACCACGCGAGUGGAUGCCAAUCCCCAAAACCUCUCUCAGUUCGGACUGGAGUCUGCAACCCGACUCCACGAAGCUGGAUUCGCUAGUAAUCGCGCAUCAGCCACGGCGCGGUGAAUACGUUCCCGGGCCUUGUACACACCGCCCGUCAAGCCAUGGGAGCCGGGGGUACCUGAAGUGCGUAACCGCGAGGAGCGCCCUAGGGU